rnacentral:rRNA from 1 species
CCUACGGGAGGCAGCAGUAGGGAAUAUUGCUCAAUGGGGGAAACCCUGAAGCAGCAACGCCGCGUGGAGGAUGAAGGUUUUCGGAUUGUAAACUCCUUUUGUUAGAGAAGAUAAUGACGGUAUCUAACGAAUAAGCACCGGCUAACUCCGUGCCAGCAGCCGCGGUAAUACGGAGGGUGCAAGCGUUACUCGGAAUCACUGGGCGGAAAGAGCGCGUAGGCGGGAUAGCAAGUCAGAUGUGAAAUCCUAUGGCUUAACCAUAGAACUGCAUUUGAGACUGUCAUUCUAGAGUAUGGGAGAGGUAGGUGGAAUUCUUGGUGUAGGGGUAAAAUCCGUAGAGAUCAAGAGGAAUACUCAUUGCGAAGGCGACCUGCUAGAACAUAACUGACGCUGAUGCGCGAAAGCGUGGGGAGCAAACAGGAUUAGAUACCCGGGUAGUC